UACGGGGGGGGGCAAGCGUUGUUCGGAAUUACUGGGCGUAAAGGGCUCGUAGGCGGCCAACUAAGUCAGACGUGAAAUCCCUCGGCUUAACCGGGGAACUGCGUCUGAUACUGGAUGGCUUGAGGUUGGGAGAGGGAUGCGGAAUUCCAGGUGUAGCGGUGAAAUGCGUAGAUAUCAGGAGGAACACCUGUGGCGAAAGCGGCUCACUGGACCAUAACUGACGCUGAUGCACGAAAGCUAGGGGGAGCAAACAGG
rnacentral:rRNA from 1 species